rnacentral:rRNA from 2 species
UGGAUCCAGACUUUGAUUCUGGCUCAGGAUGAACGCUAGCUACAGGCUUAACACAUGCAAGUCGAGGGGAAACGACAUCGAAAGCUUGCUUUUGAUGGGCGUCGACCGGCGCACGGGUGAGUAACGCGUAUCCAACCUGCCCACCACUUGGGGAUAACCUUGCGAAAGUAAGACUAAUACCCAAUGAUAUCUCUAGAAGACAUCUGAAAGAGAUUAAAGAUUUAUCGGUGAUGGAUGGGGAUGCGUCUGAUUAGCUUGUUGGCGGGGUAACGGCCCACCAAGGCAACGAUCAGUAGGGGUUCUGAGAGGAAGGUCCCCCACAUUGGAACUGAGACACGGUCCAAACUCCUACGGGAGGCAGCAGUGAGGAAUAUUGGUCAAUGGACGAGAGUCUGAACCAGCCAAGUAGCGUGCAGGAUGACGGCCCUAUGGGUUGUAAACUGCUUUUAUAAGGGAAUAAAGUGAGUCUCGUGAGACUUUUUGCAUGUACCUUAUGAAUAAGGACCGGCUAAUUCCGUGCCAGCAGCCGCGGUAAUACGGAAGGUCCGGGCGUUAUCCGGAUUUAUUGGGUUUAAAGGGAGCGUAGGCCGGAGAUUAAGCGUGUUGUGAAAUGUAGACGCUCAACGUCUGCACUGCAGCGCGGACUGGUUUCCUUGAGUACGCACAAAGUGGGCGGAAUUCGUGGUGUAGCGGUGAAAUGCUUAGAUAUCACGAAGAACUCCGAUUGCGAAGGCAGCUCACUGGAGCGCAACUGACGCUGAAGCUCGAAAGUGCGGGUAUCGAACAGGAUUAGAUACCCUGGUAGUCCGCACGGUAAACGAUGGAUGCCCGCUGUUGGUCUGAAUAGGUCGGCGGCCAAGCGAAAGCAUUAAGCAUCCCACCUGGGGAGUACGCCGGCAACGGUGCAACUCAAAGGAAUUGACGGAAUG